rnacentral:rRNA from 1 species
UAGGAUAGAGGCCUACCAUGGUGGUAACGGGUAACGGGGUGUUAGGGCACGACACCGGAGAGGGAGCCUGAGAAACGGCUACCACAUCCAAGGAUGGCAGCAGGCGCGCAAAUUACCCAAUCCCGACACGGGGAGGUAGUGACAAUAAAUAACAAUACGGGGUUCUUUCGGAUCUCGUAAUUGGAAUGAGUACAAUUUAAAUCUCUUAACGAGGAACAAUUGGAGGGCAAGUCUGGCGCCAGCAGCCGCGGUAAUUCCAGCUCCAAUAGCGUAUAUUAAAGUUGUUGCAGUUAAAAAGCUCGUAGUUGAAUUUCGGGGUUAGUAGGUUGGUCAUGCCUCUGGUAUGUACUGGUCUCACUGAUUCCUCCUUCCUUAUGAACCGUAAUGCCAUUAAUUUGGUGUUGCGGGGAAUUUGGACUGUUACUUUGAAAAAAUUAGAGUGUUUAAAGCAGGCUAACGCUUGAAUACAUUAGCAUGGAAUAAUGAAAUAGGACGUUCGAUCUUAUUUUGUUGGUCUCUAGGAUUGACGUAAUGAUUAAUAGGGAUAGUUGGGGGCAUUAGUAUUCAAUUGUCAGAGGUGAAAUUCUUGGAUUUAUUGAAGACUAACUACUGCGAAAGCAUUUGCCAAGGAUGUUUUCAUUAAUCAAGAACGAAAGUUAGGGGAUCGAAGACGAUCAGAUACCGUCGUAGUCUUAACCAUAAACUAUGCCGACUAGGGAUCGGAUGA